rnacentral:piRNA from 1 species
GCAAUGUGUGGAGACAUUUUGGGUUGUCA